rnacentral:rRNA from 1 species
UACGUAGGUGACAAGCGUUGUCCGGAUUUACUGGGCGUAAAGAGCGCGCAGGCGGUCGUUCAAGUCGAGUGUGAAAGCCCCCGGCUCAACUGGGGAGGGUCACUCGAUACUGAUCGACUCGAAGGCAGGAGAGGGAAGUGGAAUUCCCGGUGUAGUGGUGAAAUGCGUAGAUAUCGGGAGGAACACCAGUGGCGAAGGCGACUUCCUGGCCUGUUCUUGACGCUGAGGCGCGAAAGCUAGGGAAGCAAACGGG